rnacentral:rRNA from 1 species
GAUGAACGCUAGCUACAGGCUUAACACAUGCAAGUCGAGGGGAAACGAUAGAGAAAGCUUGCUUUUUCUAGGCGUCGACCGGCGCACGGGUGAGUAACGCGUAUCCAACCUGCCCAUCACUUGGGGAUAACCUUGCGAAAGUAAGACUAAUACCCAGUGACGUCCAUAGAAGACAUCUGAAAUGGAUUAAAGAUUUAUCGGUGAUGGAUGGGGAUGCGUCUGAUUAGCUUGUUGGCGGGGUAACGGCCCACCAAGGCGACGAUCAGUAGGGGUUCUGAGAGGAAGGUCCCCCACAUUGGAACUGAGACACGGUCCAAACUCCUACGGGAGGCAGCAGUGAGGAAUAUUGGUCAAUGGACGAGAGUCUGAACCAGCCAAGUAGCGUGCAGGAUGACGGCCCUAUGGGUUGUAAACUGCUUUUAUAAGGGAAUAAAGUGGGAGUCGUGACUCCUUUUGCAUGUACCUUAUGAAUAAGGACCGGCUAAUUCCGUGCCAGCAGCCGCGGUAA